GUUGAGCGGCGCGACGGUCCUGCAGCAGCUAGCCUGGGAUGUACCCACAGCUCACCGGGGAGUCCGGGCCACACGUCAGCUGGAUCUUGAAUGAGAUGAAGACGGGGAGAAAGGGCCUUCCGGACAAAGGGCUUACGCCCUGGAUAAAGGGCGUGGAGGGGCGUGGCACGUUCAGUCUGGACACAGCAUAAAGUGCAUUGGAGAGAGGCGGGAGACAGGAUGGAAAGGAGGGUGGGAAGAGCUAUGAAGCUCCCCAGGGCCUUGCUAACGCGUUUGGACUUUAUCCCGCGCCAGACUUUUUAAAGGUGGUAAGUAGUUUACAGAUGUGCGUUUUGAGGCCAGCACAUUUUGUUGUUGUCGUUUGUUUGUUUGUUUUUCUUUGAGACGGGGUCUCACUCCCAGGCUGGAGUGCAAUAACGUGAUCUCAGCUCACUGCAACCUCCGCCUCCCAGGUUCAAGCGAUUCCCCUGCCUCAACCUGUCGAAUAGCUGGGGCUACAGGCGCCCACCACCACGCCUGGCUAAUUUUUGUAUUUUUAGUGGAGACGGGGUUUCACCACGUUGGCCAGGCUGGUCUCGAACUCCUGACUUCAGGUGAUCCUCCCGCCAAGGCCUCCCAAAAUCCUGGGAUUACGGCCAUCGUGCCGGGCCAGCAGCACAGCGUCUUAAGCAAUUUUGGAUAUGAAUACCUUCGAGACGAGCUUGCGCUCCCACAGACCCCACCACUCCUACAGUCUGUAAUUACCCCCAGCUGCACCCAUAUGCGUAGCUUCCCUGGUCCAGAGGGACGUGCGUGUGUGACCCUGCAGGAUAGUGGGGUGGCCCUGCAUGGCAUGGCUGCCAGUGCUAAGAGGGGUGUGCCGCCAGCCUCUGAUCCCUCUCACCGGCGGGCCCCCCAUCAUCAUCACUAUAUGAUGACCUGAGGCGUCCAGGCUCCCGAGGAAAGCCUGCCGCCCUGGUUCCUACAAGGGACGCCUAAACACAGAGUCCUAAACACAGAGUCCUAAACACAUGCAGGGUUGGAGGGAGACUGACGAACUCAACUACCAGCCUGCAGUCGGCAGCCAUCAGCGGAUUGCAGGUACCCCGCGUGCGUGUCUCGGCUACAGUGCGGAAGACAAGAGGCCUUAGGAAGUGGGAACGGGCGCCAUCUGGUGGUCAUCUCUGGAGUGACAGCAGAGAACUGGAACAUAUUUUAUAUUUUGUUUCCACUGCUCCAUGACUUGACUAAAGCAGAAACAAUUCGGAGAGUACUGUAGUAUUAAAUACCUAAGGGCCACACCAGGCCAGAAAGCAACAAAAAAGAAAUGCUAAAAAGAAGUUCUUCAGAGAGGGAUCCAAGAAGGAAUAAGUGAAGGGCGGUGCUCCAGGUGUGAAUGGAGACGACUUCGAGCUCACUGUGCUGAGAAACUGCUUUUCAGAGGGCUUCUACAGAGCCCACAGGUCAUCUUCUAGAAGUCAUCUAUAGCUACUGUCAGUUUCUAGGCUUCCAAGGACACCCUUCAGCCUACUGCAAUGCAGCUUCUUACCCUACUCCUCCAUGGACAGAUGACAUCCAUUUCUGAAAUCCAGGGGCCACACUUCAAUCUAUCUCAUGAGGUAUCUCUGCUUGGUGGACACCGAUGUUCUCCCUUCCUGAAGACUCUGCUUCUCUGACUUCUGUGAGCAUAGCCUCUUCUGGUCACUCGUUCUCUGGCAUAGACUUCUUCUCUGUGGGCUGGCAGCGAACAGUGGGGCCUUCAGCAUCAUUAUUGCUCAGGUCAGUACAAAGGACCACAUAAGGGAGUAUGAUAGUGAGGAGCCAAGAUCACUCCACAUCUCGAGAAGAGAUGAUAGCAGCCUGGAAUGGUUUGGUGGCCAUGGGAAUAAAGAGAAAGGGACUGAUUUGACAGAUGUUUAAUGGGUAAACAUCACAGGAUUUGGCAAUUGGCUAUGGAAGAUAAAUGGGAGGAAGGAGUCUAGGAUGACUGUUGUGUUUCAUCUUGUUGGGGGGUGACUUGACUAGGCUGAUGACUUUGCUCAAUCCAAUAGGGGAUACAAAAACAGCAAAGACAUGAAAGAGAAGAUGAUGAUAGUGGUAUCCCAGAAAAUGAGAGGGUAACCAACAGCACCAAAAGUCAGGCAAUCAGAUAAACCAGUUUCUAAGCUGAGGAAGGG
rnacentral:lncRNA from 1 species